CCUACGGGAGGCAGCAGUGGGGAAUUUUGGACAAUGGGGGCAACCCUGAUCCAGCAAUGCCGCGUGCAGGAAGAAGGCCUUCGGGUUGUAAAUCUUGAGAACCGGGUACGCGGUACCUGAAGAAUAAGCACCGGCUAACUACGUGCCAGCAGCCGCGGUAAUACGUAGGGUGCGAGCGUUAAUCGGAAUUACUGGGCGUAAAGCGUGCGCAGGCGGCUUUGCAAGACAGAUGUGAAAUCCCCGGGCUUAACCUGGGAACUGCAUUUGUGACUGCAAGGCUAGAGUACGGUAGAGGGGGAUGGAAUUCCGCGUGUAGCAGUGAAAUGCGUAGAUAUGCGGAGGAACACCGAUGGCGAAGGCAAUCCCCUGGACUGACUGACGCUCAUGCACGAAAGCGUGGGGAGCAAACAGGAUUAGAUACCCUUGUAGUC
rnacentral:rRNA from 1 species